CAGUGGGGAAUUUUGGACAAUGGGCGAAAGCCUGAUCCAGCCAUGCCGCGUGCAGGAUGAAGGCCUUCGGGUUGUAAACUGCUUUUGUACGGAACGAAACGGCCUUUUCUAAUAAAGAGGGCUAAUGACGGUACCGUAAGAAUAAGCACCGGCUAACUACGUGCCAGCAGCCGCGGUAAUACGUAGGGUGCAAGCGUUAAUCGGAAUUACUGGGCGUAAAGCGUGCGCAGGCGGUUAUGUAAGACAGUUGUGAAAUCCCCGGGCUCAACCUGGGAACUGCAUCUGUGACUGCAUAGCUAGAGUACGGUAGAGGGGGAUGGAAUUCCGCGUGUAGCAGUGAAAUGCGUAGAUAUGCGGAGGAACACCGAUGGCGAAGGCAAUCCCCUGGACCUGUACUGACGCUCAUGCACGAAAGCGUGGGGAGCAAACAGGAUUAGAUACCCUGGUAGUCCACGCCCUAAACGAUGUCAACUGGUUGUUGGGUCUUCACUGACUCAGUAACGAAGCUAACGCG
rnacentral:rRNA from 1 species